CCUACGGGAGGCAGCAGUGGGGAAUAUUGCACAAUGGGCGCAAGCCUGAUGCAGCAACGCCGCGUGCGGGAUGACGGCCUUCGGGUUGUAAACCGCUUUCAGUUCCGACGAAGCGCAAGUGACGGUAGGAACAGAAGAAGGACCGGCCAACUACGUGCCAGCAGCCGCGGUGAUACGUAGGGUCCGAGCGUUGUCCGGAAUUAUUGGGCGUAAAGGGCUUGUAGGCGGUCUGUCACGUCGGAAGUGAAAACUCAGGGCUUAACCCUGAGCCGGCUUCCGAUACGGGCAGACUAGAGGAAUGCAGGGGAGAAUGGAAUUCCUGGUGGAGCGGUGGAAUGCGCAGAUAUCAGGAGGAACACCGGUGGCGAAGGCGGUUCUCUGGGCAUUUCCUGACGCUGAGAAGCGAAAGCGUGGGGGGCAAACAGGCUUAGAUACCCUGGUAGUCCACGCUGUAAACGGUGGGCACUAGGUGUGGGGAACAUUCCACGUUCUCCGUGCCGAAGCUAACGCAUUAAGUGCCCCGCCUGGGGAGUACGGCCGCAAGGCUAAAACUCAAAGGAAUUGGCGGGGGCCCGCACAAGCGGCGGAGCAUGCGGAUUAAUUCGAUGCAACGCGAAGAACCUUACCUGGGUUUGACAUAUACCGGAAAGCUGCAGAGAUGUAGCCCCCGCAAGGUCGGUAUACAGGUGGUGCAUGGCUGUCGUCAGCUCGUGUCGUGAGAUGUUGGGUUAAGUCCCGCAACGAGCGCAACCCUCGUCCUAUGUUGCCAGCGGAUAAUGCCGGGGACUCAUAGGAGACUGCCGGGGUCAACUCGGAGGAAGGUGGGGAUGACGUCAAGUCAUCAUGCCCCUUAAGUCCAGGGCUUCACGCAUGCUACAAUGGCUGGUACAAAGGGCUGCGAAACCGCAAGGUCGAGCGAAUUCCAAAAAGCCAGUCUCAGUUCGGAUUGGGGGUCUGCACUCGACCCCAUGAGUCGGAGUCGCUAGUAAUCGCAAAUCAGCCACGCCCGCGGUGAUACGUUCCGGG
rnacentral:rRNA from 1 species